GUUGAAGGUUGGGUAACACUAACUGGAGGACCGAACCGACUAAUGUUGAAAAAUUAGCGGAUGACCUGUGGCUGGGGGUGAAAGGCCAAUCAAACCGGGAGAUAGCUGGUUCUCCCCGAAAGCUAUUUAGGUAGCGCCUCGUGAAUUCAUCUCCGGGGGUAGAGCACUGUUUCGGCUAGGGGGCCAUCCCGGCUUACCAACCCGAUGCAAACUGCGAAUACCGGAGAAUGUUAUCACGGGAGACACACGGCGGGUGCUAACGUCCGUCGUGAAGAGGGAAACAACCCAGACCGCCAGCUAAGGUCCCAAAGUCAUGGUUAAGUGGGAAACGAUGUGGGAAGGCCCAGACAGCCAGGAUGUUGGCUUAGAAGCAGCCAUCAUUUAAAGAAAGCGUAAUAGCUCACUGGUCGAGUCGGCCUGCGCGGAAGAUGUAACGGGGCUAAACCAUGCACCGAAGCUGCGGCAGCGAACGUAUCACCCAAGACAACUUUACGGAGUUGACGAUUGACGGAGCGAAGCGACGUCAAAGCGUUCAUUAAAGUCGAGUUGGCUUAGGGAUACGUUCGUUGGGUAGGGGAGCGUUCUGUAAGCCUGUGAAGGUGUGUCGUGAGGCAUGCUGGAGGUAUCAGAAGUGCGAAUGCUGACAUAAGUAACGAUAAAGCGGGUGAAAAGCCCGCUCGCCGGAAGACCAAGGGUUCCUGUCCAACGUUAAUCGGGGCAGGGUGAGUCGACCCCUAAGGCGAGGCCGAAAGGCGUAGUCGAUGGGAAACGGGUUAAUAUUCCCGUACUUGGUGUUACUGCGAAGGGGGGACGGAGAAGGCUAUGUUGGCCGGGCGACGGUUGUCCCGGUUUAAGCGUGUAGGUGUGUGUUCCAGGUAAAUCCGGUUCACUUUAACACUGAGGCGUGACGACGAGGCACUACGGUGCUGAAGCAACAAAUGCCCUGCUUCCAGGAAAAGCCUCUAAGCAUCAGGUAACACGAAAUCGUACCCCAAACCGACACAGGUGGUCAGGUAGAGAAUACCAAGGCGCUUGAGAGAACUCGGGUGAAGGAACUAGGCAAAAUGGUGCCGUAACUUCGGGAGAAGGCACGCUGACACGUAGGUGAAGUGAUUUACUCAUGGAGCUGAAGUCAGUCGAAGAUACCAGCUGGCUGCAACUGUUUAUUAAAAACACAGCACUGUGCAAACACGAAAGUGGACGUAUACGGUGUGACGCCUGCCCGGUGCCGGAA
rnacentral:rRNA from 1 species